rnacentral:rRNA from 1 species
GUCCACGCCCUAAACGAUGGGGACUAAGUGUCGGAGGUAUCGACCCCUCCGGUGCCGCAGCUAACGCAUUAAGUCCCCGCCUGGGGAGUACGGCCGCAAGGUUGAAACUCAAAGGAAUUGACGGGGCCCGCACAAGCGGUGGAGCAUGUGGUUUAAUUCGACGCAACGCGAAGAACCUUACCCAGACUUGACAUGUGAGUGGUAGUGAACCGAAAGGGGGAACGACCCCGCAAAGGGGGAGCUCACACAGGUGCUGCAUGGCUGUCGU